rnacentral:tRNA from 1 species
UUUAGGGAGACCUACACCCCUCAGAAAUCAAAAAACAUACAGUUAAAUAGAUACUGAGUUGGUCUAACCUAGGUCGGUCGCAGACAUUUGUGUUAGUUGAAAGCUUUCAAACUAUGAUUUGGUUCGUUAUGGGCUAUUAGCUCAGGUGGUUAGAGCGCACCCCUGAUAAGGGUGAGGUCCCUGGUUCGAAUCCAGGAUGGCCCACCUGAAAAAAGGAGUCAGAAUUCAGAAGUCAGGAAUCAGAAUAAAAUUCUGAAUUCUGGGUGCUGAAUACUGAAUUCUCGAUUCUGGGGGUUUAGCUCAGUUGGUAGAGCGCCUGCUUUGCAAGCAGGAUGUCAGCGGUUCGAGUCCGCUAACCUCCACCUGUGGCAAGAGUGCCAUUGAUAAAAUAAGUGUGAGAGUUCAGCAACAUGACAUUCAUUGUCAGACUGCUGAGUUUGUUCUCAGCCAGAACCUUGAAAACUGCAUAGUAACGCGAAAUUAGCAGGCAGACACAGACAUUCUUUCAUGGAUUGUAUUGUGAAUGCAUAAUUAACACCAAAUGAAUUGAGU